rnacentral:rRNA from 1 species
UACAGAGGGUGCAAGCGUUGUUCGGAAUUACUGGGCGUAAAGCGUGCGUAGUCGGUAUUGAGAGUCACGGGUGAAAUCCCAGGGCUUAACCCUGGAACUGCCUGUGAGACCUCAGUACUAGAGUGUGAGAGGGGGAUAGUGGAAUACCCAGUGUAGCGGUGAAAAUGCGUAGAGAUUGGGUGGAACACCGGUGGCGAAGGCGGCUAUCUGGCUCACAACUGACGAUCAGGCACGAAAAGCGUGGGGGAGCAAACAGGG